AUUGAACGCUGGCGGCAGGCCUAACACAUGCAAGUCGAGCGGAUGAAGGGAGCUUGCUCCUGGAUUCAGCGGCGGACGGGUGAGUAAUGCCUAGGAAUCUGCCUUGUAGUGGGGGAUAACUUCCGGAAACGGGCGCUAAUACCGCAUACGACCUGUGGGAGAAAGUGGGGGAUCUUCGGACCUCACGCUAUCAGAUGAGCCUAGGUCGGAUUAGCUAGUUGGUGGGGUAAAGGCCUACCAAGGCGACGAUCCGUAACUGGUCUGAGAGGAUGAUCAGUCACACUGGAACUGAGACACGGUCCAGACUCCUACGGGAGGCAGCAGUGGGGAAUAUUGGACGAUGGGCGAAAGCCUGAUCCAGCCAUGCCGCGUGUGUGAAGAAGGUCUUCGGAUUGUAAAGCACUUUAAGUUGGGAGGAAGGGCAGUAAGUUAAUACCUUGCUGUUUUGACGUUACCAACAGAAUAAGCACCGGCUAACUUCGUG
rnacentral:rRNA from 1 species